ACUCCUACGGGAGGCAGCAGUGGGGAAUCUUGCGCAAUGGGGGAAACCCUGACGCAGCAACGCCGCGUGGGUGAUGAAGGCCUUCGGGUCGUAAAGCCCUGUCAGGUGGGAAGAAUCGUAUCGGUGCAAACAGUGCCGAUGCUUGACGGUACCACCGGAGGAAGCACCGGCUAACUCCGUGCCAGCAGCCGCGGUAAUACGGAGGGUGCUAGCGUUGUUCGGAAUUACUGGGCGUAAAGCGCGUGCAGGCGGUUGAGCAAGUCAGAUGUGAAAGCCUUCCGCUUAACGGAAGAAGUGCAUUUGAAACUACUCGGCUGGAGUUCGGGAGAGGAGAGUGGAAUUCCCGGUGUAGAGGUGAAAUUCGUAGAUAUCGGGAGGAACACCGGUGGCGAAGGCGGCUCUCUGGCCCGAUACUGACGCUGAGACGCGAAAGCGUGGGGAGCAAACAGGAUUAGAUACCCUGGUAGUCCACGCCGUAAACGAUGGGCACUAGGUGUAGGAGGUAUUGACCCCUUCUGUGCCGAAGCUAACGCAUUAAGUGCCCCGCCUGGGGAGU
rnacentral:rRNA from 1 species